UACAGAGGUCCCAAGCGUUGUUCGGAUUCAUUGGGCGUAAAGGGUGCGUAGGCGGCGCGGUAAGUCGGGUGUGAAAGUCUCGGAGCUUAACUCCGAAACUGCAUUCGAUACUGCCGUGCUUGAGGACUGGAGAGGAGACUGGAAUUUACGGUGUAGCGGUGAAAUGCGUAGAUAUCGGUAAGGAAGACCAGUGGCGAAGGCGGGUCUCUGGACAGUUCCUGACGCUGGAGGCACGAAGGCCAGGGGAGCAAACGGG
rnacentral:rRNA from 1 species